CUACGGGCCGCAGCAGUGGGGAAUCUUAGACAAUGGGGGAAACCCUGAUCUAGCCAUGCCGCGUGAUCGAUGAAGGCCUUAGGGUUGUAAAGAUCUUUCAGGUGGGAAGAUAAUGACUGUACCACCAGAAGAAGCCCCGGCUAACUCCGUGCCAGCAGCCGCGGUAAUACGGAGGGGGCUAGCGUUAUUCGGAAUUACUGGGCGUAAAGCGCACGUAGGCGGACCAGAAAGUCAGAGGUGAAAGCCCGGGGCUCAACCCCGGAACUGCCUUUGAAACUCCUGGUCUUGAGGUCGAGAGAGGUGAGUGGAAUUCCGAGUGUAGAGGUGAAAUUCGUAGAUAUUCGGAGGAACACCAGUGGCGAAGGCGGCUCACUGGCUCGAUACUGACGCUGAGGUGCGAAAGCGUGGGGAGCAAACAGGAUUAGAUACCCCUGUAGUC
rnacentral:rRNA from 1 species